GAUGAACGCUGGCGGCGUGCCUAAUACAUGCGAGUCGAGCGAACAGACGAGGAGCUUGCUCCUCUGACGUUAGCGGCGGACGGGUGAGUAACACGUGGAUAACCUACCUAUAAGACUGGGAUAACUUCGGGAAACCGGAGCUAAUACCGGAUAAUAUAUUGAACCACAUGGUUCAAUAGUGAAAGACGGUUUUGCUGUCACUUAUAGAUGGAUCCGCGCCGCAUUAGCUAGUUGGUAAGGUAACGGCUUACCAAGGCAACGAUGCGUAGCCGACCUGAGAGGGUGAUCGGCCACACUGGAACUGAGACACGGUCCAGACUCCUACGGGAGGCAGCAGUAGGGAAUCUUCCGCAAUGGGCGAAAGCCUGACGGAGCAACGCCGCGUGAGUGAUGAAGGUCUUCGGAUCGUAAAACUCUGUUAUUAGGGAAGAACAAAUGUGUAAGUAACUAUGCACGUCUUGACGGUACCUAAUCAGAAAGCCACGGCUAACUACGUG
rnacentral:rRNA from 1 species